GCGGAGGGAGCCAAUCGGAUCAAGGGCGGGGAUUGUGAAUCCUCC
rnacentral:tRNA from 1 species